AUUGAACGCUGGCGGCGUGCCUAACACAUGCAAGUCGAGCGGUAACAGGUGUAGCAAUACAUGCUGACGAGCGGCGGACGGGUGAGUAACGCUUGGGAAUCUGCCUGUUAGUGGGGGACAACCCGGGGAAACUCGGGCUAAUACCGCAUACGCACUACGGUGGAAAGCCGGGGACCGCAAGGCCUGGCGCUAACAGAUGAGCCCAAGUCGGAUUAGCUAGUUGGUAGGGAACGGCCUACCAAGGCGACGAUCCGUAACUGGUCUGAGAGGACGACCAGUCACACCGGAACUGAGACACGGUCCGGACUCCUACGGGAGGCAGCAGUGGGGAAUAUUGGACAAUGGGCGCAAGCCUGAUCCAGCGAUGCCGCGUGUGUGAAGAAGGCCUGCGGGUUGUAAAGCACUUUCAGUCGGGAGGAAGGCGGGUUGGCGAACAGCCGGCCGG
rnacentral:rRNA from 1 species